AUCAAGCACAAGGAUAAAGUCAGGGUGACCAGGAGAGUGCCAGACCAAUGCAUAAUUUAUUUCCUGCUCCCAGACUUCUGCACCUGUCUGCACUGGGGGCCUCCUGUGGUACCUUGACCUGCCAGCCCUUCCUGAAGAUGCUGCGUCGUAACGUUUAGCCUGGAAUAGGGGACAGAGGGCUGGCUUGGGGCGGCGGCAGUGGGAUGCAGGAAGCAAACGGUAUUUUAAACCUAAGCUGCUUAGGGGCAUAACUCUUCCUCAUUUGGAAAGUCUUUUUUUUUUUUCUUUUUAAACUUGGGUCCUCGAAUGGUAGAAUUGCUCACUCUUCCCUGGGAGGAAAGUCAGGCCCAGAUGGUGUUAUCCAUUUCCCAUCCAGUCUGGCAAGAUCACAGGAAGGGCCAGCUGGUGGCUUCCUUGUUAUUGUUAAUUUUUUUUUUUUGAGAAGGAAUCUCACUCUGUCGCCAGGCUGCAGUGCAGUGGCACGAUCUUAGCUCAUUGCAACCUCUGCCUCCUGGGUUCAAGCAAUUCUCUUGCCUCAGCCUCCCAAGUAGCUGAAGUUACAGACACGCACCAGUGUGCCUGGCUAAUUUUUGUAUUUUUAGUAGAGAAGAGAUUUCACCAUGUUGGCCAGGCUGGUCUUGAACUCCUGACCUCAGGGGAUCCACCCGCCUCGGCCUCCCAAAGUGUUGGGAUUACAGGCAUGAGCCACUGAGCCCGGCCUAAUUUUUUUUACCUUCUACUGAUUAAAGUUUUGAAAUUUCGAGAGGCCAGAUGGGAACCAAAUAAUAUGGCCCUUUUGGUUUUCUUUUAAUGAGACCAGGUUUGGGAGAGACCUUGGAGAGACCUGAGAUGGUGAAGCUGUCUGCUGGGUACCCUGGGACCUAUUGCCCAGAGGGCUUGGCAAGCCGUGAGUUCUUUCAUCCUCCUUCCUACAGGGAGUAUUGCCUCUGUUUUUCCAGAAGAUUCUUGUAAUGGUUUCUGUAGGACCGUGCACUUCACAGGCUUCAGUUAAAAUUGGACUCAGCUUGUGGGUGGAGAGACUAAAGCCUUGUGAAGACGUUUGAUCCUGCAAGUCCUCAAAGCCUCCUGCUCCCCCGGGGCGGCCGGGCACAUGAAUAUGGAGAGUGGCAUUGAAGAUGUGCUGUCUCCUUCCCAGAUCCUGCUGCCUGGGGACCAGCAGUGAGGCCCUCUUCCUGCAGAAGGGCACUCUCAGUCUUGCUGGGCUAGAGGAGGAAGCCACGGGGGUGGUGGCUGCAAAGGGCUGGGCACAGAGAGAGACCUGGCAAGGUGACCGGGGGAGGUGACUGGGCUCAGGCUGGCACCUGUCCCACCUCACUGUCAGCCAAGCAGAUGGAGAGGUGGGUGCUCUGCCCGUUGCAGCCACCUGCCCUGCGGCCUCUGCUGUGCCCGUUUCUGCUCUGGGUCCGCCAGCAGGAGCUCAGCCCUCAUCCUCAUGUUCAUCUAGUGAGGCGGGGGGAGGCGGUCAUCCCAGGCAGGUGUGGGUGCAGAAGAGGCAGCCGCAGGUGUGGGGCCAUUGCAGCGAGGGGCCCUGCCCUGUUCCUCCAGGAACUCCCACGGGCUCUUAGAGUCUCUCCAGGUUGUCGCCAUUUCACUUCCGCCUGCAGUUGGGCAUGGGCUGUGUACGGAACACACAUUAGACCCUGGGGAACAAAAAGGAAACAAAAACAGGAAAUGUGUCUGCUCUCAAGGA
rnacentral:lncRNA from 1 species